rnacentral:rRNA from 1 species
AUGCACAAGAGUACUGUCACCACCAUUCGUUGUGACGAGGUGGCUGCGGUAGCAGUGGAGGAGCACUUUCAGUGUAGGAGGCUGAACUUCCCUAUUCAAUACUUGGGCUUGCCUCUUUCCAUUUACCGUCUUUGUCGACAGGAUCUUCUUCCUCUCAUUGAUAAAUUCUCGGGAAAGUUGAAAGGUUGGAAGCCAAAGAUGCUGGCUACUGCGGGUCGUCUAACUCUCACUCGCUCGGUUCUUAUGGCUCUGCCCAUUCAUCUGAUGACGGUUCUUCCCAUGCCGGCUUGGGCUUUAAAGAUCAUGAAUAGACGUUGUCGUGGGUUUAUUUGGAAGGGGGAAGAGGAGAUCAGUGGAGGGCAUUGUUUGCUACCCUGG